ensembl:lncRNA
AGCUCGAUCCCAUUCUGCUUUAUUUCUAUCUUUAAUACUUUCUUUUCCUCUUUUUUACUACUACAAAACGCACAGGUGGAACUUGAGAGAUGGAAAGCAUGUUGUCCAAUCAAAUCUCCAUAGGUAUUGACACAAAAGAGAGCAAAACACACCCCACACUCCUCAUUAGCUUCUUGUGCAGCUCAGAUUUGGGGAACAGUCGUAAUGUGGUGUUAGAAUAAAUAAAAAAAUAAAACAAUCCCUCCCAGUGUCUCUAACAAGAUUUCCGUCUUCGGCUUCUAAAUGAAUCCCUCCUGCCGAGGGCUAUGAGCGAUUUGCCUACUGCACCCCUUGCCACCAAAUCUAUCCUGAUUAUGUCACAUGUAAAUCCAUUUGUCAGAUGCAUAAUCUCCGAUCCAUUUAUCAGAAGGUCAGGAGAUGCGGAGGAAAAUAGACAGAGUUAUUACUCUGUGACUCUCAAAUAAGAUAAACAGGUCCUGCGGACUGAGGAAGAGAGGUGAAUAAUGAGCAGAUAUGCAGAAGACAGGAGAAUCAUUACACCUCUCGGGACACCCCCGCGCCCUCCGUAACAACACAGGGCUGAGGAAAUCUGCUUAACUACCACCUUUGUCAUUUCAGAUGAACCAAAGGCUGGCGAGAUGUGUGACGUGCAUGGUGUAAAUGUCUUAAAUGCCAUCUUAGGUGGUUGUAUUGUGACAGUACUGAUGUAAAUGUGGUAUUAAAGUGAUUGAAAAAGUUCAGGAGAAGAAUGUUCAUAAAAGCCUGUCAAUCACAAUUCUUAAGAAAAUAUAGAAUCUCUUACACUCCUUUAUUCUUAGCAGAAUGUUAAAUCUCUCCAUACUUCUGGUUCAUGGUUUCCACAAAAAUAUUAAGCAGCACAACUAAUUUUCAGUUGAUAAUAAUAAGAAAUGUUUCUUCUGGUUUUUGCUGUAUAUAAUACAUUUAGCCUUUGUGAGUAUAAGAAUUAUUAUGACAAUCAAAUUAUGUUAUAUUAUUUGGUUUGGUUUGUUGAUUUUAACUUGUUAGUAUGGAAUAGUAGUGCUCCGAUCACGAUCGGCCGAUCGUUAUGCGCAUCUCGUCAGUAAAGCCGGUUCUCUAAUCAGCGGUUAAUUCCAUCAGGUGCGUGAUUUCACAGAGAGCGGCUGUUACUACACAGAGCCGUUGUUAACUGAGAAGAUGCGCCAAAAAACGCUGAAAAUGAAGUGGAUUUGCGCAUCUUCUCUAUUAACAACGGCUCUGUGUAGUAACAGCCGCUCUCUGUGAAAUCACGCACCUGAUGGAAUUAACCGCUGAUUAGAGAACCGGCUUUACUGACGAGAUGCGCAUAACGAUCGGCCGAUCGUGAUUGGAGCACCCCUAGUAUGGAAGAACCAGCUCGGAUAGAUUUUGAGACACGGUAAAACCAACACAGGCUGAUUUAAGCGGCUUUUACAGCAGAAACCACAAACAGUGCACAGCUACUGCAAAGCUCUUGAAAAGCCCUUGAAACUGAGAAGCCACAAUUAACACACAAUAUCAGCAAUCACAAUGAAGAGAAUCAACCGAAGGACACAUGGUGAGACACAGUGAACAGACCCCACUUAAAAAGCUGCCAAAUGAAUGACAGACUGCUAUUGAGCUUAUAGCACACAUUGACUUACUUCCGUAUAUCUCCGAAACCUCCCUAAAUUUAUCCCAUUACAUCCCGCCAUACAUCCUGUAACAGAAAAGGAAUAAAAAUAGCUUGAAAUUGAACAUUUCCUAUGGCUACAUGUAAAGCAAAGAUAUUUCUGGCUACAAAUCCUUUAAAAUGAUGGAAACAGACGUACAGAGAUAUUACUACAUUUAAUAACAUGUAAAGUCUUCUAAAUGCAACCAAUAUACAGCGUGUUUAUGUUUCCACCCUGAAGCCAAUUAUGCAUGCAUGCUUGAUAAAACACACAAACACACACACACGCUCAGACGUCACUCGCACAUCACACACAAGCUCACGGUAGCUUAUCACGCCAGCACCACGUGCUUAAUUGCAUUGCAGCUGGUUCACACACAAACACUUGGUGUGACUGACACUUGACAGAGUAGGAAGUCAAGCACACACAAGCAUAUAAACACACUACCACCAGAAACAAACAUACUGACCCUGAGCCAUACAAUUAUCACCCCAUCCACACCUCACAGUGAGAAAACGGCACUUAACCUGAGACUUCACGCAUGCACACACACACAAGCGCAUUGACAAACACAUCAUGCUCAAAUAAGCAGUGACGGCCUCUCAGUGGACAAUCAUAUUGUACACAUUAUAUAUUGAAAAAAUGAAGAUUUACUGAAAAGGUACUCACCCUCGGGCCAUCCAAGAUGUAGAUAAGUUUGUUUCUUCAUCAGAACAGAUUUGGAGAAAUUUAGCUUUACAUUACUUGCUCAUUAAUUAAUCCUCUGCAGUGAACGGAAGUCGACAGAAUGAGAGUCCAAACAACUGAUACAACACCACAAAAAUCCACAAGAGACUGCAGUCCAUCAAUUAACAUCCAUUUAAAAUAAGAAAAAAAAUCUUUAAAAAAAGCACCUUUUCACUUCACAAGACAUAUUGAUGGACUUACUUGGGGAUUAUUGUGAUGUUUUUAUCAGCUGUUUGGUCUCCCAUUCUGACGGCACCCAUUGACCACUGAGGAUCCAUUUGAUAAGCAAGUCAUGUGAUACUACAUUUCUCUUGUUUAAAUGAAGAAACAAACUCAUUUACAUCUUAGAUAGCCCGAGGGUGACUAUAUUUUCAGCAAAUGUAGAUUUUGUGGUGAACUAUUCCUUUAACACAUUGAACAUGAUCUGAAAUUUGUGUUGCAAUUAGUUGUGUGUCGCAAUUUGUUCUAGAAGCAAUGACAUUUGUUAGUAAAAGAUAAAAAAAGACUUUUAAAUUACGAACCAAUUAUAGAUGGGACAUUCAACAAAAGUCAUAGUACUCUCAAUAAUGUUGAUGGACGAUGACACGGAGGAGAAGAAUUGUUUGAUAACAUUUUUAUUUAUUGUUUUCUUAGCACAAAAAGCAUUCUCGUAGCUUCAUUUCUACAUUACUACAUUUCUGGGGCGUGAAUGUGUCAGCUGUGCAGGGUCAGAAAACUCUCGGAUUUCAUCAAAAAUAUCUUAAUUUGUGUUCUAAAGAUGAACGAAGGUCUUACGGAUUUAAAAACAACAUAAGAGUGAGUAAUUAAUGGCUGAACUGUUCCUUUAAGAGACAUUUCGCAGUUAUGAAUCUGUGGUUGCAUGUAUACACUGCAGGUGGCGGAAAGAAUUUUGGACUGUGCUGAUCCUCUUGGGGCUUGAAAUGAACCUCACUCUCUCUCCUCCUCAACCCUCUCCUCUCCUUCU